rnacentral:rRNA from 1 species
UUAAAGUCUAAUCUGCCCCAUGAGGAAUUAAAUGGCCGCGGUAUUUUGACCGUGCAAAGGUAGCAUAAUAAUUAGUUUUUUAAUUGAAAGCUAGAAUGAAUGAUUGGACGAGAAAGUAACUGUCUCAAUUUAAUUUAAUUAGAAUUUUAUUUUUAAGUAAGAAAGCUUAAAUUUAAUUAAAAGACGAGAAGACCCUAUAGAGUUUUAUAAUUUAUUUAUUAUUAAUUUUUAAGUAUUAUUUUAUCAAUAAUAGAUAGAUUAUUUUAUUGGGGCGAUAGAAAAAUAUAUAUAACUUUUUUUAGUUUAAUAGCAUUAAUUUAUGUUUAAAUGAUCCAUUAUUUAUGAUUAUAAGAUUAAGUUACCUUAGGGAUAACAGCGUAAUUUUUUUUUAGAGUUCCUAUCGAAAGAAAAGAUUGCGACCUCGAUGUUGGAUUAAAAUUAAUUUUUGGUGUAGAAGCUGAAUAAUUGGGUCUGUUCGACCUUUAAAAUUUUACA